rnacentral:rRNA from 1 species
GAUGAACGCUGACAGAAUGCUUAACACAUGCAAGUCAACUUGAACUUCGGUUUGGGUGGCGGACGGGUGAGUAACGCGUAAAGAACUUGCCUCACAGAUAGGGACAACAUUUGGAAACGAAUGCUAAUACCUGAUAUUAUGAUUAUAUGGCAUCGUAUAAUUAUGAAAGCUAUAUGCACUGUGAGAGAGCUUUGCGUCCCAUUAGCUAGUUGGAGAGGUAACGGCUCACCAAGGCGAUGAUGGGUAGCCGGCCUGAGAGGGUGAUCGGCCACAAGGGGACUGAGACACGGCCCUUACUCCUACGGGAGGCAGCAGUGGGGAAUAUUGGACAAUGGACCAAGAGUCUGAUCCAGCAAUUCUGUGUGCACGAUGAAGUUUUUCGGAAUGUAAAGUGCUUUCAGUUGGGAAGAAAAAAAUGACGGUACCAACAGAAGAAGUGACGGCUAAAUACGUG